rnacentral:rRNA from 1 species
GAUGAACGCUGGCGGCGUGCCUAAUACAUGCAAGUCGAGCGAACGGACGAGAAGCUUGCUUCUCUGAUGUUAGCGGCGGACGGGUGAGUAACACGUGGAUAACCUACCUAUAAGACUGGGAUAACUUCGGGAAACCGGAGCUAAUACCGGAUAAUAUUUUGAACCGCAUGGUUCAAAAGUGAAAGACGGUCUUGCUGUCACUUAUAGAUGGAUCCGCGCUGCAUUAGCUAGUUGGUAAGGUAACGGCUUACCAAGGCAACGAUGCAUAGCCGACCUGAGAGGGUGAUCGGCCACACUGGAACUGAGACACGGUCCAGACUCCUACGGGAGGCAGCAGUAGGGAAUCUUCCGCAAUGGGCGAAAGCCUGACGGAGCAACGCCGCGUGAGUGAUGAAGGUCUUCGGAUCGUAAAACUCUGUUAUUAGGGAAGAACAUAUGUGUAAGUAACUGUGCACAUCUUGACGGUACCUAAUCAGAAAGCCACGGCUAACUACGUGCCAGCAGCCGCGGUAAUACGUAGGUGGCAAGCGUUAUCCGGAAUUAUUGGGCGUAAAGCGCGCGUAGGCGGUUUUUUAAGUCUGAUGUGAAAGCCCACGGCUCAACCGUGGAGGGUCAUUGGAAACUGGAAAACUUGAGUGCAGAAGAGGAAAGUGGAAUUCCAUGUGUAGCGGUGAAAUGCGCAGAGAUAUGGAGGAACACCAGUGGCGAAGGCGACUUUCUGGUCUGUAACUGACGCUGAUGUGCGAAAGCGUGGGGAUCAAACAGGAUUAGAUACCCUGGUAGUCCACGCCGUAAACGAUGAGUGCUAAGUGUUAGGGGGUUUCCGCCCCUUAGUGCUGCAGCUAACGCAUUAAGCACUCCGCCUGGGGAGUACGACCGCAAGGUUGAAACUCAAAGGAAUUGACGGGGACCCGCACAAGCGGUGGAGCAUGUGGUUUAAUUCGAAGCAACGCGAAGAACCUUACCAAAUCUUGACAUCCUUUGACAACUCUAGAGAUAGAGCCUUCCCCUUCGGGGGACAAAGUGACAGGUGGUGCAUGGUUGUCGUCAGCUCGUGUCGUGAGAUGUUGGGUUAAGUCCCGCAACGAGCGCAACCCUUAAGCUUAGUUGCCAUCAUUAAGUUGGGCACUCUAAGUUGACUGCCGGUGACAAACCGGAGGAAGGUGGGGAUGACGUCAAAUCAUCAUGCCCCUUAUGAUUUGGGCUACACACGUGCUACAAUGGACAAUACAAAGGGCAGCGAAACCGCGAGGUCAAGCAAAUCCCAUAAAGUUGUUCUCAGUUCGGGUUGUAGUCUGCAACUCGACUACAUGAAGCUGGAAUCGCUAGUAAUCGUAGAUCAGCAUGCUACGGUGAAUACGUUCCCGGGUCU